rfam:Schistosoma mansoni strain Puerto Rico chromosome W, complete genome
AUCCAUCUGACGAGUCCCAAAUAGGACGAAACGCGCGUCAAACUAGAU